CAGUUCCUCUCCUCUUCCCCACCAGGGUCCUCAGCCACACACCCCGAGCCCUGCCUGCGGGCCCAGCCCCCCCAUUUCCGGAGCCUGCACCCCGGACCCAGCGGGGGCCGAUCCCUGGGAAAGGCCUGGCUUCCUUUUCCUUCCUGUCCCUGCCCCACCUCCGCCGGGCUCCACAGCCGCCGGGAGUCCAGGGCCGAGACGGGAGGAGGGUACCCACCUGGUCGGUGUCACAUGCUGCUUCGGCCCCAGCGUCCCCUCCAGGUCCCGGCGCCGGCCGCAGUCCCCAGCGCCGUCCCCAGCGCAGGCCCGGCCGCCCCACCCGCGGCCCGCCCCUGGCCGCCCGACGGGAGGGAGGGAUCGGGUUCUCCUAGGAAGUUUCAG
rnacentral:antisense_RNA from 1 species